AGGCAAUUAUACCGUGAAACUGCGAAUGGCUCAUUAAAUCAGUUAUCGUUUAUUUGAUAGUACCUUACUACUUGGAUAACCGUGGUAAUUCUAGAGCUAAUACAUGCUAAAAACCUCGACUUCGGGAGGGGUGUAUUUAUUAGAUAAAAAACCAAUGCCCUUCGGGGCUCUUUGGUGAUUCAUGAUAACUUAACGGAUCGCAUGGCCUUGCGCCGGCGACGGUUCAUUCAAAUUUCUGCCCUAUCAACUUUCGAUGGUAAGGUAUUGGCUUACCAUGGUUUCAACGGGUAACGGGGAAUUAGGGUUCGAUUCCGGAGAGGGAGCCUGAGAAACGGCUACCACAUCCAAGGAAGGCAGCAGGCGCGCAAAUUACCCAAUCCCGACACGGGGAGGUAGUGACAAUAAAUACUGAUACAGGGCUCUUUUGGGUCUUGUAAUUGGAAUGAGUACAAUUUAAACCCCUUAACGAGGAACAAUUGGAGGGCAAGUCUGGUGCCAGCAGCCGCGGUAAUUCCAGCUCCAAUAGCGUAUAUUAAAGUUGUUGCAGUUAAAAAGCUCGUAGUUGAACCUUGGGCCUGGCUGGCCGGUCCGCCUCACCGCGUGUACUGGUCCGGCCGGGCCUUUCCUUCUGGAGAGCCACAUGCCCUUCACUGGGUGUGUUGGGGAACCAGGACUUUUACUUUGAAAAAAUUAGAGUGUUCAAAGCAGGCCUUUGCUCGAAUACGUUAGCAUGGAAUAAUAGAAUAGGACGUGCGGUCCUAUUUUGUUGGUUUCUAGGACCGCCGUAAUGAUUAAUAGGGAUAGUCGGGGGCAUCAGUAUUCAAUUGUCAGAGGUGAAAUUCUUGGAUUUAUUGAAGACUAACUACUGCGAAAGCAUUUGCCAAGGAUGUUUUCAUUAAUCAGUGAACGAAAGUUAGGGGAUCGAAGACGAUCAGAUACCGUCGUAGUCUUAACCGUAAACUAUGCCGACUAGGGAUCGGGCGAUGUUACUAUUUUGACUCGCUCGGCACCUUACGAGAAAUCAAAGUUUUUGGGUUCUGGGGGGAGU
rnacentral:rRNA from 1 species